rnacentral:rRNA from 1 species
CCUGGCUCCGAUGAACGCUGGCGGCGCGCCUAACACAUGCAAGUCGAACGAGCGAGAGAGAGCUUGCUUUCUCAAGCGAGUGGCGAACGGGUGAGUAACGCGUGAGGAACCUGCCUCAAAGAGGGGGACAACAGUUGGAAACGACUGCUAAUACCGCAUAAGCCCACGGGUCGGCAUCGACCAGAGGGAAAAGGAGCAAUCCGCUUUGAGAUGGCCUCGCGUCCGAUUAGCUAGUUGGUGAGGUAACGGCCCACCAAGGCAACGAUCGGUAGCCGGACUGAGAGGUUGAACGGCCACAUUGGGACUGAGACACGGCCCAGACUCCUACGGGAGGCAGCAGUGGGGAAUAUUGCACAAUGGGGGAAACCCUGAUGCAGCGACGCCGCGUGGAGGAAGAAGGUCUUCGGAUUGUAAACUCCUGUUGUUGAGGAAGAUAAUGACGGUACUCAACAAGGAAGUGACGGCUAACUACGUGCCAGCAGCCGCGGUAAAACGUAGGUCACAAGCGUUGUCCGGAAUUACUGGGUGUAAAGGGAGCGCAGGCGGGAAGACAAGUUGGAAGUGAAAUCUAUGGGCUCAACCCAUAAACUGCUUUCAAAACUGUUUUUCUUGAGUAGUGCAGAGGUAGGCGGAAUUCCCGGUGUAGCGGUGGAAUGCGUAGAUAUCGGGAGGAACACCAGUGGCGAAGGCGGCCUACUGGGCACCAACUGACGCUGAGGCUCGAAAGUGUGGGUAGCAAACAGGAUUAGAUACCCUGGUAGUCCACACCGUAAACGAUGAUUACUAGGUGUUGGAGGAUUGACCCCUUCAGUGCCGCAGUUAACACAAUAAGUAAUCCACCUGGGGAGUACGACCGCAAGGUCGAAACUCAAAGGAAUUGACGGGGGCCCGCACAAGCAGUGGAGCAUGUGGUUUAAUUCGACGCAACGCGAAGAACCUUACCAAGUCUUGACAUCCCUUGACGAACAUAGAAAUAUGUUUUCUCUUCGGAGCAAGGAGACAGGUGGUGCAUGGUUGUCGUCAGCUCGUGUCGUGAGAUGUUGGGUUAAGUCCCGCAACGAGCGCAACCCUUACUGUCAGUUACUACGCAAGAGGACUCUGGCAGGACUGCCGUUGACAAAACGGAGGAAGGUGGGGAUGACGUCAAAUCAUCAUGCCCUUUAUGACUUGGGCUACACACGUACUACAAUGGCGUUAAACAAAGAGAAGCAAGACCGCGAGGUGGAGCAAAACUCAGAAACAACGUCCCAGUUCGGACUGCAGGCUGCAACUCGCCUGCACGAAGUCGGAAUUGCUAGUAAUCGUGGAUCAGCAUGCCACGGUGAAUACGUUCCCGGGCCUUGUACACACCGCC